rnacentral:rRNA from 1 species
CUGGCGGCGUGCUUAACACAUGCAAGUCGAACGAGACUUAGGGAAGAGCUUGCUCGGAACUAAGUCGAGUGGCGGACGGGUGAGUAACGCGUGAAUAAUCUGUCUCAUACAGGGGGAUAACGCAUCGAAAGAUGUGCUAAUACCGCGUAGGACCACGACGGGGCAUCCCGUUGAGGUGAAAGGAGCAAUCCAGUAUGAGGUGAGUUCGCGUCUGAUUAGAUAGUUGGUGAGGUAACGGCCCACCAAGUCAACGAUCAGUAGCCGACCUGAGAGGGUGAUCGGCCACAUUGGGACUGAGACGCGGCCCAGACCCCUACGGGAGGCAGCAGUGGGGAAUAUUGGGCAAUGGGCGAAAGCCUGAACCCCCAGCAACGCCGCGUGAAGGAAGAAGGUUUUCGGAUCGUAAACUUCUGUCCUAUAUGAAGAGCAGUAGACGGUAGUAUAGGAGGAAGCCCCGGCUAACUACGUGCCAGCAGCAGC